GACGCUGUUUUCAACCCUCAGCUCCGGUUACACAGAGCAGGUUUGAUGACGACCAGUUUGUCAACCUCGCAGACCACCUGCACGUCACUAAACCGCCUCCAUCAUGAUGUCCAGCAGCUGUUGGUGGUUGAAGACAAAGUCCCCCC